rnacentral:rRNA from 1 species
UGGGGAAUCUUGCGCAAUGGAGGAAACUCUGACGCAGCGACGCCGCGUGAGUGAUGAAGGCCCUCGGGUCGUAAAGCUCUGUUCUGGGGGAAGAUAAUGACGGUACCCCAGGAGAAAGGACCGGCUAACUUCGUGCCAGCAGCCGCGGUAAUACGAGGGGUCCUAGCGUUGCUCGGAAUCAUUGGGCGUAAAGCGGGUGUAGGCGGCAAUGUAAGUCAGAAGUGAAAGCCCUGGGCUCAACCCAGGAAGUGCUUUUGAUACUGCGUUGCUUGAGUGUGGGAGAGGACAGUAGAAUUCCUAGUGUAGUGGUGAAAUACGUAGAUAUUAGGAGGAAUACCAGUGGCGAAGGCGGCUGUCUGGCCCAACACUGACGCUCAGACCCGAAAGCGUGGGUAGCAAACA